UCCCAGCCCUUUGGGAGGUCGAGGUGGCGGAUCACUUGAGGUCAGGAGUUCAAGACCAGCCUCAGUAAGGCAUGGUGGUGUGUGCCUGUAAUGCCAGAUACUCAGGAGGCCGAGACACUUGAACUCGGAAUGCGGAGGUUGCAGUGAGCUGAGAUCGCGUCCACUGCACUCCAGCCUGGAGACUUUGUCAAAAAAGAAAAGAGAGGGAGCUGUUUGAAAGGGCUCCAUCUGACCAAAUUUUAAAUAAUUUGAGCAUCAACAUAAUAAUGACAGUAAUUAUUUGUAAAGGAAUCCAUGAGUUCAUCGUGAUAAAACGAGACAGCAGGGAGAAGAAAAGGUAUUCUUUGCAGGAAAUGGCAACUAAUAAAUGUAUAAAUGUGCUUCAGUUUCCUCACCUGUUACAUGGAGAUAAUUAUACCUAACUCACAGGGUUGUUAUGCGGACGGAGUAAAUGAAUUAAUACGUGUUAAAACAGUAUGUUAGCCGUUAUUAUAUUGCCCCCUAGACGACAAUGUGCCACCUAGCAUCUCACUAAGACUACAGACGGGAUUCAGCGUGACGACCACAGAGGUGAGGAAACCUCCGGCCUUCCUAGAAGGAACACAGCCAGAACCGCUGUUACGCGGAGAGCGGGCCGCGGUGACGCAUUUCCGGCCUUUGUAGUUUACCAUUCUGUGGGCUGCGGUUGUCAAGGAUUCAGAGCCGAUGUGAUCUGCGCUAGGUGGCUUCUCCUCUUACGGAUGCCUCGCCGUUGUUCAACUAGCUAUUACCUGAAGAAUCCAGGCGUGUUCCCACCUGCAAAACUUUGCACUUGCAGUUACCUUUGCAUGGAACAGUCUUUCUCCAGAUAGCCAUGUGACUUGCUCCUCACUUCCUUCAGAUCUCGGGGUUUCCAGAAGAAAAGAUCAAGGGAGAAUUAUCAAGAAUAGAUUCUUUUUCCGAAUAGUUAAACCUUUGAUGGCCAUAACCUUGACCCUUCAGACUGCAGAGAUGCAGGAAGGACUUCUGGCAGUGAAGGUAAAGGAGGAAGAGGAGGAACAUUCCUGUGGGCCAGAAUCAGGCCUGUCAAGAAAUAACCUUCAUACCAGAGAGAUCUUUCGUAGACGCUUCAGGCAGUUCUGCUAUCAGGAGUCCCCUGGGCCCCGGGAGGCUCUUCAAAGACUCCAGGAGCUCUGCCAUCAGUGGCUGAGACCAGAGAUGCACACCAAGGAGCAGAUCCUAGAGCUGCUGGUGCUGGAGCAGUUCCUGACUAUCCUGCCCGAGGAGCUCCAGGCCUGGGUCAGAGAGCACCGUCCUGUGAGUGGAGAGGAGGCAGUGACUGUGCUGGAGGAUUUGGAGAGAGAGCUGGAUGAACCAGGAGAGCAGGUCCUGAGCCAUGCUCAUGAACAGGAAGAGUUUGUAAAGGAGAAGGCAACUCCAGCAGCAGCUCAGGAGUCAUCAAAUGACCAAUUCCAAACCUUGGAAGAGCAACUUCGGUAUAAUUUGCGAGAGGUGUGCCCAGUUCAGGAGAUUGAUGGCAAGGCUGGGACUUGGAAUGUGGAGUUAGCCCCAAAGAGGGAGAUUUCUCAGGAAGUGAAAUCUCUUAUACAAGUUCUUGGAAAACAGAAUGGUAAUAUUACUCAGAUGCCUGAGUAUGGAGAUAUCUGUGACCAUGAGGGCAGAUUGGAAAAGCAAAGGGUGAGCUCUUCAGUGGAGAGACCCUAUAUUUGUAGUGAAUGUGGAAAAAGCUUCACCCAGAAUUCCAUCCUUAUUGAGCACCAGAGAACACACACAGGUGAGAAGCCUUAUGAAUGUGACGAGUGUGGGCGGGCCUUCAGCCAGCGGUCAGGCCUAUUCCAGCAUCAGAGACUCCACACUGGGGAGAAGCGCUACCAGUGCAGUGUUUGUGGCAAAGCCUUCAGCCAGAACGCCGGGCUUUUCCAUCACCUCAGAAUUCACACUGGGGAGAAGCCUUACCAGUGCAAUCAGUGCAAUAAGAGUUUUAGUCGACGUUCAGUCCUCAUUAAGCAUCAGAGAAUUCACACUGGAGAGAGACCUUAUGAAUGUGAAGAAUGUGGCAAGAACUUCAUUUACCAUUGCAACCUAAUUCAGCAUCGGAAAGUCCACCCUGUGGCUGAAUCAAGUUAGCUCCUUGGAAAAGGUAGGGAAUAAUAUUUCUUUCUUUGUCCCUGCUGUGUCCUCUAGCAUAGAAAAGUCCAAGGGAAAGCCAGUAAAAAUUCCCUUAUUUUUAUGCAGAGAGAAGCAUAAUAUCUUAAAUACAUCUGCCGAGUUCUCUGAUCAGUGACAUCCACAGCUUUGUGAUACUGAAUGUUGCCUCUUGUGUUGAUUUCAUCAUGUAUGCUGUAGACCUAGUUUCACACACAUCUGUGCAAGAAGUUUUCUAAGUAUAUUUCAGGAAAACUUCUUCAUCCUAGUUUUUAAAAACUUUAAAAAAAAGUUUAAAAUAAUUGUAUGUAGGCUGAGUACAAAAUAAUCUCAAAGGCAGUUCACUGAGUAUUUAAAAAUUAACUUAAAAAUAAUUGUAAUAAAAUUCGUAAUAUAGGUUUACUGACUUCUUUACAUUCACAUAAAAUAUGAUAAUUUGCUUUGUAACCUACAAAAAGGGGCAGAUGAAUCCUCCUAUAUAAAUGUAGAUUUAUAGUAAGUUAGAUUUCUGUAGAUUUUUUAGUAAGUUAGCCUUUAGGAACCAAGGAAUUGAAGCAGCCAUAUGUUAUUAGCAGCUCAGUGGCUCUUCAUAACAAAUAUUGCUCGUGAUUUUAAAUUUACGCAGAGGCUAAUAAACUUAGCUAAAAAUCUGAUAUCUCGCCUCAGAUUUUUUAUUGGAAAAUAUAGGCCUCUUUGUAUUUUUCCUGUAACAUAUGAGCAUUUUUUUGUUUUUGCCUUUUUCUCCUUUAUUCAAUAUUUUGUAUGGAAAAUUUGAAACAUAUUCAAGAUUGAAGAGUAUGAUCACUCUUUCAUGUUGAUUUUUUUAUAAUCUCCACAUUUCUCAGCAUUUACUAUUGAUUACCACCAAGGUCAUACAUAGGAAAAUUUAUUUCCCUUAACAUUGACUUAGUAACUCUUUACAAAGCUUUACACAAGGUCCAGGAGACAAAGAAAUGGAAAACCUAUGGUGAAAACAAUGUGGUUUAGAAUACACCCAAAUACCCAAUACAUAGUAAGUAACUUAAGAAUAACAGAAUCACUCUAAGGGACCUUAGAGAUCACUUCUGCUUGCUCUUAUUUGACAGAUAAGAGAAAAGGAAGUUCUGGGAAGUAACUAAGAUCAUAGAGCCAGUUAAAAGCAGAGCUGGAACUAGAAUCCUGUCUCCUAGUUCCUAGUGUAACACUCUAUUAAGCCACUGGGGGCAUUAUAUCACCAAAUAAAAAUUAUAAGUAUAUGGAAUUUAUAGGAUUUAUAAGUCACUGAAGUUGCUCAACAAACCCGCCCAUUUAUGUUUCAAUAAAUGCACAACUCCUCUAUUUAAUUUACAGUGGAGUCCAGGAAAGACUCUUCUCAUUUAUUCCUCAUUGAAAACAUUUUAUUUAUUUUUGUAAUUAUUAUUUUUAGCUUUUAAAAUUCAAUUUACUUAGUAGGACUUUUUAAAAAAGAUAAUUCAUUCUUCACCUGGUUCAAAAUAAUACAAAAAAAUCAAAAUAAUACAAAAAAGUCUACUUUCUCUUUAUAAGUAGCCAUUGUACUAGUUUCUUAUGUAUCUUUCAGUGUUUCUUUAUGUAAAUAUAGGCAAAUAUGAAUGUAUAAUCUUGUUUCUUCCAUUACUCAGGAAGAUGGCAUAUUAUUUAUACUCUUCUAAUACCUUGCUGUUUUCAUGAAGGAAUAUAAUCUUUAGAGAUAUCCACAUCCUAACAUAGAACUUCUUCAUUCCUUUUAUAAGUGAAUAGAAUUUUAUUUGUUCAUACUCCAUAGUUUAUUUAACAAACUCCUAUAGAUGAAAAAACUCACUAUUUUAAAAUGUUACAUGUUCUGUUUCAUUCUUCUCCCCAGUUUAGUCCAAGUUAAGUUCCUUCUGUUUAAAAGCUAACAGCUUUCAUAUGAGCUAGGAAACAAGGUGUGGGCAACCAGAAUUGCACAUAAUUCUUCUACAGAGAAAUGGAGAAGUAAUGGGUGGUAUUUUUCAGUUUAGUGUAUUUGCUUCUAUCACAUAUUCUUACACCUGACGUCUCAAACUGUUUGUGUCACUACUUAAGGCUAAUUGUGGGUAUUAUAAAAAAUCUUACAUUUCCUCAAGAGUAUUUUCUAUUGUGUCUUGAGGUUAAAUUAUUUCCAAGAGAAAUAGCUACAGAUUUGUGAGUGAAGUUAAGAAAAAUAUAGUAGACUCGAGUUUGAAGUAAAAUCAACUUCUCAAGUAAAUACGUAUUCCAUAAAGUGAUAUAAUACAUAUUCUAUAGUAUUCUGAGUUUAUAAAUAUCUUAAAUGCCUCUCCAUUUAAGAUACUGAGAAAAGUUGGCCGGGCGCGGUGGCUCACGCUUGUAAUCCCAGCACUUUGGGAGGCCGAGGCGGGCGGAUCACGAGGUCAGGAGAUCGAGACCACGGUGAAACCCCGUCUCUACUAAAAAUACAAAAAAAAAAAAAAAAAAUUAGCCGGGCGUGGUGGCGGGCGCCUGUAGUCCCAGCUACUCGGAGAGGCUGAGGCAGGAGAAUGGCGUGAACCCAGGAGGCGGAGCUUGCAGUGAGCCGAGAUUGUGCCACUGCACUCCAGCCUGGGCGACAAAGCGAGACUCCGUCUCAAAAAAAAAAAAAAAAAAAAAAGAUACUGAGAAAAGUCGAAAGUGCUUAAGCACUUGUAGUAAUCUUUGUCUUUUAUUGCCUUAAAAAUUUUGUAAAGGAAACCAAUUACGAACAGACAUAACUGUGAAUUAUAUAUGGUUUCAUAGACACUUAACACUUGGAGCCCUGAGACCCAUUGUAGGCAUCUGCAAACAACAGCAACAACAAAGUGGGAUGGAAAGAAAAAAGAACAAAAUAUGAGAACAUAAAAAAGAAUCAGACAGAAGGUAAAAUUAGAUGCUAAAACUCUAGAUUAGGCAAAAAAUGUUGACCAAAGGAAAAAUAAAAAGAUAGAUGCAGAGACAGAGUGUUGCCAAGAAACAUGCUUCAUCUUCAUAAUAAUUAUUAGAAAUCUCUCUUAUUUAUCAACUGGUCCAAGUUUUUAGAUACUAUUGUCUUAAGCAGUGAAAAUAAUCUUACUGCCUUUUACUACUCACACUUUUUAUUACUUUCCAUAAAAUGGAGGAUAGGGAGAAAAGCAUAGUCUAUAAACCACUGUGAUUUUUAGAUCUCCUUAAACCUAUCCCCAGUUUUCUAUGCCAGCUGCCAAUGGGCAGUGUUGAAAGCACUAUUUCUUGAUGAUACCUGCACUAGAAUCACCUGGGUUGUUUGUUUGAACUGCAGUUUUCUGAGCCCCACCCCAGACCUACUGAAUCAGUUUCUGAGGCAGAGCCUGAAAAUCUGUAUCUAAUUAGCAUAGCAUAUCAGUGGUCCACACACAUAAGGUAACUAUAUAAUUUAUUGUCCAAUCUGGGACACUUGAAAAUGAAAAGGAGUGCUGUUAAUAAUUACACCAAGACAACAGGUAUAAACCAGGAGGUAUGGUCCCCAUACCAAUAAUUUUUGCAAUAGGCAAUAUUUUUUCAACCAAGGAUAUAGAAGAGACAGAGAAUCAGAAAGAUUACAGUGUUCUGUCAUGAAAGCUAAGGCAGAAUAUAUAUGAAAAAGGCUGUUGGAGACUUAGGUGUAGCCACCUAGCCUGAGGUAACCCCCAGUAAUAGAUCUAUUGAAUUAGGAAAGAAAGGAUGGGAUAAUAUGUCUGCACAAACAAAACAGAGGGCCCCGCAUCCCGCCCCCAUUAAGACGAACUCAUUGUUAUCAUAGCUAGUUACCUAAGAUGAACCUAUUGAGUGAAUGGUUUACCAGACAAGAUGGACAACGUCCUGGAAGCACAGGAGUGUUUCAGUGGUAUAGGGACCGAUGGAGUACAGUGUUCAACCUUAUACUGUAGAAGAAAGUGAGAAGAUAGAGUACUGGAUCAGAGCUUGCAGUGUUAAGGCAAACAGUGAACCAUUUUAAGCAGGUAGUCGGGUGAAGGGGAAGGGGGCAGAUAUUGUACCAAGUAGUUUCAUAAUUUAUCACAUUCACUCCACAUCAUUUGUUGGCUGUGGAGAGGAGUCCUCUUGCCACUUGAUGGUACCAAAGACAGCUGACCCUGCCUUAAGCGUGUCAAUAGAUCUUCAUAGCUAUUCAGCAAUUGCCUCAAGAUCAUUGACUGCAGGCGUGGGGGUGGGGAUGGUGGCCUCCCCUCAUCACCCCUGACUUCUGCUAAUUCAUUGUAGAGGGGUAUGUAGUCAGGGAUCUGUAAGCCCCAAACUUGCUAGUGGUUAAGUUACUCGGGGGGACCUGAUUUACUUAAAUGGGUUUAAAGCAAUGGAGAGCAAGCCAACAUCUUCCCCUUUUUCCUCAGGUGGGUGUUGAUUAUUGCAUUUGACCCUUGGGGGCAGAGUGAAGGUAACUGGACAAUUUGUGUGGUACAGAUAAUACCAGACCUGGGGUUGGUUGGUUGGUUGAUUUUUUUGUUUGGAAAGCCCUUUAUCUUCUGAGAGACAUGACCAGGGCUGUGGGAGGAGCUCUGAGUGUGCCUGUGCCUAGACUGCUACAUUCCCAUCAGCCAUCCCAGGAGCUUGGUUGGGGUCUGAGGUGCUCGUUGGGGCCGAAUUGAGGAAUCUCCCUGAGGAUAGAGGGAAAGACCCUGAUGCCUGAGACCCCAGAGGACCGGGGACCUAGGACCUAGGGAACGGAGGACGCGGCAGGAUGCAGUGCGAGCAAUCAAGUGUCUUCAGCAGGGGAGAGAGAGAAGUCAGCCCAGAUUGAGUGGCUGUUGGACACAAGAGGUUACGACCCCUGUCGGCCUGAGCCUUUUUGAGGCGGCUUCUGCGCUCACAAAGGCGAGCCAGGUGGUGUGCACAAAUGAACCACUGAGAUUGAUGGGUCCUCCAAAAAUCCUAGAGAGGCGGCAGAGGAGCCGGCCGAAGUGCGUUGGAACAUGGACGUUCUUCAGGUAUCCUGUGCGUUGUGGACCAAGUAUUUCCUUUCUCCUAGAGAACUGUUCAGUUUUUAGUGUCCCGGGACUGUGUGUGUAGGCGGUGUCCUGGUCUCUUCUACCCAUGCAAGAUGCUCUAUACUUUCUCAGCGAUCCAGAGAUCACGGUACUUGGAGGUGGUGCUGUUGCCCCCUUUUCCAGGGCUUGCUCGAGUUCCCCUCUUACGUAGAUCUCUCAGGAUCAGGAUUUUGUGUUUUGUGUCGGCUCCAUCAGACAUUUCAGCGAUGCAUUUCAGAGAUGCAGAGAACUGAACAAAGCGCUGUACAGAGCUGGGUCUGUAUGGAUCACCCUCUUCUGAGAUGAGGGCACAGACUUACCAGCAAGGAGGCCUCACUGGAAUCCAUCAGCUGACAGGUCCUUAUGGCCAAAAGCUGGCUUCCGUAUACUUUUUCUGAAUCCUGCAGCCAUUUUAACCUGAACAGUUUUUUCAGAGUUUUCAUAAAAAUCCCCUAUACUAAUGGUCACAUUGUGUAUCUGUAAAGGAUUAGUACUUAAAAGAAAAAUACUUUACAUGAUCCCCACAAUUCUGCAAAACAGAAGUGGUACGUGAAUUUCUCUGAGUAAGAAAACAUUCAGAAGUUAGCACAUUCAAGUAAGCAUUUAUUGAGUGCCACAUAACGGGCCAGGCUUUAUGUUGCAAAACUGGGAAUAAGCCAGAUAAAAGGCAUUUCUUACUGUAUAGUGUAAUGGGAAAGACAUGUUGCCUUGAGGAAAAUAAACUUCGUACAUAGGGACUUUGGAGGUGGAACGUUAAAGAUAACUUCCCUGAGUAGGCAAUAGCAGAGCUGUCUCUGGACUAUCAGAAGUUGGAUAGCAAAGAAGAAAUGGACCUUGAGGGAUAGUAAUAGUAUGUGAAGGAGGGAUCAGAAAACCAUUUCAGAAAACCGCAAGUAAAUGAAGGUGGGUGCAUUCCAGCCUGGGCAACAAGAGUGGCAGAGGUGGGGCAAAGAGAGUAGAGAGUAACUGAAAUAUGCUGAGGAAUUUAAAGUUUAUAGGGCAGUGUGCUUUUCCAUUUUCUUAAUGUCACAGCACAUGAAGAAAAUUUGUAUGCACACUUCCUGGCCACCCCGGUAGCUGAAGAGACCAGUAUGCCGGUACUCCUAUAAGCCAUUUGAAGCACCCAGUAAACUGUGGCAUUGCACAGUAGUGGGGCAGUUAUAUGCUCUGUCUGGAUUUAAGCAGAGGAGUAAUGUAAUCUUACUAGCUUUCUAGAAAUAUUCUAGAAGUGGUGUGGUGAAUGAAUUGGAAGGGGGCAAAACUGAAAGCAAGAGAGACAAGAGACCUGUAGUUGUUAAAGAAGGAACCAAAACCAUAAGUUGGUGAAAGUAAGUCACUGGCUGUAGAAAUAAAGAGGGCACCAAGUGGAACUGUGUUAAAGAUUACAGAUUUAACUAGACCUGAUAACUAAUUAGAUUGAUGAAAGUGAGAAAGAAAAGGUACUGAGAGCACUUCCUGUCACACACUAAAUACUAUAUAAGUAUUCUUUAAAUAUAAUAAAUGUAGCCAGGGAUAAAUAGGCAGGCUUUUGGAUUAAAUUAUUAGGUAAAUGUGGCACAAUUUUAUAAGAGAUGGCUAAUAUUGGAGAAUAAAUUGGUCACAAGGGGAAAAUGAUGAAGUUUUGGUGGUGAGUUGAAGAUGCUUGUAAGACAUACAAGUGAAAAGGUCUAAUGCACCACUGGACUGUAAGGGCCUGGAGCUCCAAAGAAAGAUUGGUAUGAGAGAAUCAGGCUUAGGAGUUUUCAGGUGAAAGCUGAUGUCAUCGAAUGGUUGAGAUUGCCCAGAAUGAAUAUGGGAUGAGAAUAAGGCUGGAUUUCAAUUUAGGAUACUAAACAUUUUUUUUUCUUGACAGAGUUUUGCUCUUGUUGUCCAUGCUGGAGUGCAGUGGCUUGACCUCGGCUCGCCACAACCUCCGCCUCCUGGGUUCAAGCAAUUCUCCUGCCUCAGCCUCCCAAAUAGCUAGGAUUACAGGCACGCGCCACCACUCCUGGCUAAUUUUGUAUUUUUAGGAGAGAUGGGGUUUCUCCAUGUUGGUCAGGCUGGUCUCGAACUCCUGACCUCAGGUGAUCCGCCUGCCUCAGCUUCCCAAAGUGUUGGGAUUACAGGCGUGAGCCAUCGUGCCCGGCUUGAUACUAGACAUUUUUGACAGGCAGAAUAAGAGCCAAGAAGUAGACUAAAUAAUAGUCAUUAGAAACAUAUUUAACAGGUACUUAUAUAAUACAGUCAUGUGCCACAUAGUGAUGUUUCAGUCAACAGCAGACCACGUGUACAAUAAUAGUUCCGUAAGAUUGUAAUAACAUAUUUUUACUGUAACUUUUCUGUGUUGACACGUUUAGAUAUACAAAUACUUGGCUUUGUGUUAUAGCUGCCUACAAUAUUCAAAACAGAAACAUGCUGUACAGGUUUGUAGCCUAGGAGCAUUAGGUCAUACACUAUAACCUAGGUGUAUAGUAGGCUCUACGAUCUAGGUUUGUAGAAGUACAGUCUAUGAUAUUCUCACAAUGAUGAAAUUGCCUAAAGACACAUUUCUCAGAACAUAACCAUGUGAUUAAGCAAUGCAUAACUGUUCUUCCUCAGUGCCAAGCAUUAGGCUAAACACUACAAAAACCAACUUGUGGAAAAACAACCAGAAGAGCAUAGUGUUUCUUAGAAGAUUGGGAGUAGUUAGCAGUGUUAGGUGCUGCAGGGGCAUCUGGUAGGAAAAGGACUGAAAAAUACCCACUGGGUUUGUGUACCAAGGGGGCCCUGUUUAAUUAACUUGGGACUGAUAAGUCAGAUGUGAGGUCCCCUGACUGACAUGCACACUAUUCUAAAAUUAAAAAUACUUUUGGGCCAGGCACGGUGGCUCAUGCCUGUAAUCCCAGCACUUUGGGAGGCCGAGGCGGGUGGAUCACCUGAGGUCAGGAGUUUGAGACCAGCCUGACCAACAUGGUGAAACCCUGUCUCUACUAAAAAUACAAAAUUAGCUGAGUGUGGUGGCACAUGCCUGUAAUCUCAGCUACUUGGGAGGCUGAGUCAGGAGGAUUGCUUGAACCCAGGAGGCAGAGGCUGCAGUGAGCCGAGAUCGUGCCAUUGCAUUCCAGCCUGGGCAAUUGGAGAGAAACUCUGUCUCAAACAAACAAACAAACUUUUGAAAUCAUCUAGCACAAUUCUUGGCAAAGAGAAGUUGACUUAUACAGGCAUAUGUCAUUUUACUUGCACUUUGCUUUAUUGCACUUCACAGAUACUGUGUUUUCUGCAAAUUGAAAGUUUGUGGCAACCCUGCAUCAAGCAAGUCUGUCAACGUCAUUUUUCCAACAUCAUGUGCACACUUCGUGUUUCUGUGUCACAUUUUGGCCUCCCUGUUCCCUAAGCCACAACAGUAUUGAAAUGAAACCAGUUAAUAACACUACAGUGGCCUCUCAGUGUUCACGUGAAAGGAAGAGUUUCACAUCUCUCUCUUUAAAUCAAAAGCUAGAAAUGAUUAAGCUUAGUGAGGAAGACAGGUUGAAAGCUGAGAUAGGUUGAAAGCUAGGCCUCUUGUACCAAACAGCCAGUUGUGAAUGCAAAAGAAAAGUUCUUGAAGGACGUUAAAGCCACUCCACUGAACACAUGAGUGAUAAGAAAGCAAAACAGCUUUAUUGCUGAUACGGAGAAAGUUUGAGUGAUCUGGAAAGAAGAUCAAACCAGCCACAACAGGCCCUUAAGCCACAGGCUAAUCCACAGCAGGGUCCUAACUUUCUUCAAUUCUGUGAUGGCUGAGAGAGAUGAGGAAGCUGCAGAAAAAAAGUUAGAAGCUAGCAGAGGUUGGUUCAUGAGGUUUAAGGAAAGAAGCUGUCUCCACAAUAUAACAGUGCAAAGUGAAGCAGCAAAUGUUGAUGUAGACACUGCAGCAAGUUAUUCAGAAAACCUAGCUAAGAUAGUGGAUGAAGGUGGCUAUACUAAACAACAGAUUUUUAAUGUAGAUGAAACACUUUAUAUUGGAAGAAGAUAACAUUUUGGAAUUCCAUAACUAGAGAGAAGUCAGUGCCUGGCUUCAAAGGACAGUCUGACUUUCUUGUUAGAGCUAAUGGAGCUGGUGACUUGAAGUUGAAGCCAAUGCUCAUUUACUAAGCUGAAAAUCCUAGAGUCCUUAAGGAUCAUGCUGGCUGGGCAUACUGUAAUCCUAGCACAUUGGGAGGCCAAGUCAGGAGGAUUGCUGAGCCCAAGAGUUUGAGACCAGCCUGGGCAACAUGGAAAAACCCUGUCUCUGCAAAAAAAUACAAAAAUUAGCUGGGUGUGGUGGCACACACCUGUGGUCCCAGCUACUAGGGAGGCUAAGGUGGGUAGAUUGCUUGAGCCUGUGAAGCAGAGGUUGCAGUGAGCCAAGAUUGCACCACUGCACUCCAGCCUGGGUAACAGAGAAAGACCCUGUCUCAAACAAACAAAAAGAAUCAUGCUGAAUCUACUCUGCCUGUGCUCUAAAAAUGGAACAACAAAGCCUGGAUGAUAGCACAUUUAUUUACAACAUGGUUUACUGAAUAUUUUAAGCCCGCUGUUGAGACGUACUGCUCAGAAAAAAAAAAGAUUCCUUUCAAAAUAUUACUGCUCAUUGACAAUGCACCAAGUCACUGAAGAGCUCUGAGGGAGAUGUACAAAAAGGUUAAUACUGUUUUCAUGCCUGCUAACACAGCUAACCAUUCCACAGCCCACAGAUCAAGGAGUAGUUUCAACUUUCAAGUCUUAUCAUUUAAGAAAUACAUUUUGUCAGGGUAUAGCUGCCAUAGAUAGUGAUUCCUCUGAUGGAUCUGAGCAAAGUAAAUUGAAAACCUUCUGGAGAGGAUUCACAUUCUAGAUGCAAUUAAGAACAUUUGUGAUUCAUGGGAGGAGAUCAAAAUAUCAACAUGAACAGGAGUUUGGAAAAAGUUGAUUCCCAUCCUCAUGGAUGACUUUAACAGGUUCAAGGCUUCAGUGGAGGAAAUAACUGUAGAUAUAGUGGAAAUAGCAAGAGAACUAGAAGUGUAGCCUGAAGAUGUGACAGAAUUGCUGCAUUCUUAUGAUAAAAUUUGAAUGGAUGAGAAGUUGCUUCUUAUGGAUAAGUAAAGAAAGUGGUUUCUUGAGAUGAAAUCUACUCCUGGGGAAGAUGCUGUGAAAUUGUUGAAAUAACAGCAAAGAAUUUAGAAUGUCAUAUAAACUUAACGGAUAAAGCAGUGUCAGAGUUUGAGAGGAUUGACUCCAAUUUUCUGUGGGUAAAAUGCUAUUAAACAGCAUCACAUACCACAGAGAAAUAGUUCAUGAAAGGAAGAGUCAAUUGAUGCAGCAAACUUCAGUUUUGUCAUGUUUUAAGAAAUUGCCACAGCCACCUGAACCUUCAGCAGUUAUCACCCUAAUCAGCCAUGAGUCAGCAGACAUUAAGGCAAGACCCUGCAGCCUCAAAAAAAUUAUAACUCACUGAAGAGUCCUGCAUUUUUUAUAGCAAUAAAGUAUCUUUCAAUUAAGGUAUGUGCAUUUUUUAGACAUGCUACUGCACACUUAAUAGACUGUCAUGUAGUGUAAACAUAACUUUUAUAUGCACUGGAAAGGCAAAAAAAUUGUGUAACUCACUUUAUUGUAAUAUUUGCUUUUUUGCAGUGGUCUAGAACCAAAUCUGCAGUAUGUCCAAUGUAUGCCUGUAAAUGUUAAUUGACCCAUCUGACAUGCAAUAUAAGCAUGCCAAGUUGUGUGCAUUACUUUUUGCACCUAUUGUUUUUGAUAAUCAUCUGAAUAUUUCACUGAAUUUUCUAGAUCUAAAAGCUAAUAGUGUCUUAUUCUUUACUCUCGAAGUAACUAAAAUGUCUUUUAGUUAAUUUUAUGUCAUUUUUUGCUUAUUUAUCUUUCACAGAAAAUUUUUUUUUACCUUCAAAUCAUUGCCUUGAUACAGCCAUUCACUCUGAGUAAAUAUGUUCCAGUUUGGAGUUGAUCUUCUUUAACAAUGAUGUGUUAUGCCUUAGCAUCAGCCUGAAGCAUACGCACUACUGCAGUGAGCCAGUCUUCUGAGCUGUUUCACCCAGGAAUGCAUUCAGACCAACUGCAGAAGAACGAAAGAAGUGUCAAAUAGUUAAAGAAUCUAGCCCGCACAGAAAGGGAGCUUCUGGUCAGGAGUUCUUCAGAAAGGGUACUAUGGGUAUUUACUUGGGCCUCAAGGGUCCAGCUUCAGGUUCUUUGCCAUCAGUGGUGGAGACCAGUGAUACACAGCAAGGAACACAUCUUGGAACUACUGAUCCUGACCAUCCUGCCCAAGAACUCCAGGCCUGGGUAUAGGAGCAUCCCAGAGUAUAGGGAAGAGGCUGUCUAUACUGAAGAACUUAGAGAGGAAGCUAAAUGAUCUGGGAGGAAAGGUAAAAUGAAGAAAUAUCUUAUCAGGUAGCAGGUAUUAUCUCCAGAGAGAGAUAAGAGAGUUGAGAUAAUUUCUCUAGGGUGGUUAGAGAAAAUGGCUAACAUGUUACUGGCCAGAGUUAUUUAUUUUUGUUCUAGUUUGGUGAGUUUUUUUAACUUGUAGGCCCUGUGUAUUUUCCCCUCUUUGUCCGUUUAUCCCUGCCCUUGCAGAUAACAGAAAACUGCUUUCUGCCCUCCCAUCAUGUGUUGCACAGUAAUAAUGGGAUUUUAAGCUCUAACUUUCAGCAAAUGUCACCCUCAUUAAACUCUAUCUAAUUGUCCCCAGUUCCCCACCAUCCUACAGGGGACAAGAAGUGUCCGAACGCAAGUAGUGUAUCUGGCAGCCUCAUAGGACUCACCUGGAGUCCGGCUCCAGCCAGUAAAGGGUCAACUCAGCUCUGAAUGUUGGCAGUUUCACACUGUUAAGGAGAACGUUGAGGAGGAGAUAGCAAAGAAAAAGUUAGGAAAUGUUGGUGUCUUUUUGCAUUUUUCCAAAUGAACCUUGUCACUAAAAUCUCUGCAUAUCUUUCAUUUAAUCUCUUGCCUAUUCCACUUUUAACCUGUUCCUCUAAGCAUACCACUUUAACCUGGAUUAUGAUUCUUUUCUUUCUUUACUUCUUUGCCUUAAAAUUGUUUUUUUUUUUAAAUCCUGCUACUCAUGUUACCUUGCAUGGUUCAGUUUCUCCCUUCUAAUACUGCCAACUUCCUUAACCCAGACCCCUUAUCACAAAGACAGGAGAAUGUUUUCUAUAUUGAAGCCAAUAGAAAACUACUAAAAGGCUACAUGCAAUAAGUAAAUUUUUAAAUGUACAUUUUUUAAAUGAGUGUAGGAAACAUAAAACUUUAGUAGGUGCAUGCUUACUGGGAAAGCACGCAUACAUGCUAAAAUGUCAUACUGUACAUAUUGUUUAUUACUUGUUUUUUAGUUUAAUAUUACAUUACAGACAUCUUUUCAAGUUACAUAUAAUACCUAUAUGUAGCUGACAUACAUUUCACUGCAAGGGUAUUGAAUUAUUUUGUAACUGGCCUUAGAGGGUUUUUACAUUGCUUCUUUUUUCUUUUUUUUUUUUUUAAUACUACCAACUAAAAGCCAUAAACUCUUUUCUUUUUCUUUUUUUCUUCACUCUGUACUAUGAAAAAAGUUUAAGCAUAUAUAAAAGUACAAUUGUACUACUUUUAAUAAAUCCCCACGAACCUGUCACCCAGCUUCAACAUUAUCAGAUUAUGGCCAAUCUUGUUUCAGUUAUAAUGCUAUUCAUAUCCCAUGCUUUUUUAUAUAUAUAAUUUUAAAGCAUAUCUGAGCUAGCAUAGUCUUUCAAAUGUAAAUAUUUCAAUAUUUGCUGUAAAAGAUAUGAAUUUUAAAAAUGUAAACAUAACACUAUUUUCAUACCUAAACAAUUAACAGUAAUUCCUUAAUAUCAAUUUUCCAGUUUUCCCAAAGAUGUCAUAAACUUUUUUUUCAUUUUUUUCAUUUUGUUUUUUAAUUUAUUUGAAUCAAGAUCCAACAUUGUGAUGGGUUGAUAUGUCUCCUAAGUUUCUUUUAAUAUACGGGUACCCUCUCCUGUUUUCUCUUCCCUUACAACUCACUUGUUAAAGAAAAUGAAGUUGUUUGUCUUGUGGAGUUGCACACAGCCUGGGUUUUGCUGUCUGCAUCAUGUGCUAUAGUCUAAGAUGUUCUGUUGUCUUCUGUAUUUUCUGUAAAUUGUAGUAAUGUACAGCCUUGAUCAAAAUCAUGUUUUAAGUUUUCUUGACCAGAUAAAUUUAAUGAUUUUGGCAAGAUGAUGUGUUCUAUUUGAAGCCUAUAUUUUCUGUUUGUCUCUUUUUAUGUGGUGUUAGCAGCUAUUGAUCCUCAAUACCUAUAGCCAGUAAUCCAUUAGGGGUCCCAAAACGGUGACAUUCUAAUUGUAUCCUUCUUUCUUCAUUUAAUAAAGCUGGAAUAGUUAUAUAAAGAGACAUUUCCCCUGAUUUUCUGUUUAGUUAUUCAAUGGUUUGUUUAGGAAACGCAAGAUAAUUGCUUAAGUCACUCCCCACUACCUUGCUUUUUAAAUCAGUUUUCAAAACAAUGAAUUAGUUUGUAAUCAUCCUUUAAAACAGUGGCCAGUUGUUAGUAAUAGUAUCAUUAGGAACUCUUGGAUUGAAGCAUUAUUUGAUGUUUUUCAGUCCAUAAUACUAUCCUUACUAAAGCUCAUUUGUCUCCUCUUUGAGCAGUAGAAACCUUUUCAAUUUGGCAUGUGAAUCCUUAAUGACAUGAACCUAGACAUCUUUGAUAGUUUUCUUGCUGACCUGUAUGAUAAGAUGUACCAGGCCCAUCUUAUGGUUUUCCUUACAUAGUCCUAGAAUUAAUACUUUUUCCAAGGACCCCUGAUUCUGCCUAAUGGGAAAUGGUAUUUCAAAACCAAAAAUAGGGCAUUAGGAGUGCUUAUGGCUUAGUCAUUGGUACUAAGCCUUUCCAGUACUCAGAGUUAGGAAAAAAUUUAAAAGAAAGUGUGUAUCAUGAGUUCACACUGAUAGUUGUAAUUCACAUUUACUACUUCAGGGUCUUAAUCUCUUAUCUUCAUCUGUAUCUCCUUUUAGAGGAUUCUCAAAGACACCAGGAAUGAUAGAACAUCAAACAAUUACUCAUUUACUGUCCCACAAUAUAUACACAAUAGCCUCAUAAUAAAAAACAUCAGCAUUACCCACAAAUAUGAUUACUGUAAAUAGCUUAAUGGUGGCGUGUGUGUGUGUAUACACAUGUUUUCUAUUCUUUUUAUUCUUAAGAUAUAUCUCACUUGGGCUAUACAAAAAAAAUUUACUGCUUUAAGGACAUAUGAAAUAAUUACUCUUUUAUGUGGUUAUGCCACCAGUGGAUAUACAUGUAAGUUCCUUCUGUUAUCUCUUUCUUCUGGCAUGUAGUUCUAAAAAGUGAGCAAGUGAUUGAGUAAAGUAUAUGUGAAUGAGUGAAUUAUGCUGACAUUUUCAGUCUCUUCUUUCAGAUGAUUUGAUCAAAAUGAAGAAUGAGAAUGUUCUUCCCAAGCAAAAGAAAUGAAGAAAUAACAUGCCAACAGGAAAACAGUGUCAGAUUUGAUGGCAGUAUUCCUGAGAACUUUGUGUAGAUGUCCAAAUGUAUGAGGAAAGACUAGGAAAAUAUCCAGAAAAUACCACAGUGAUGAAUGUGGAAUAAUUUUUGCUCAGAACUCUGUCCUAAUUCAGCAUCAGAAAUUCACACUGGUGAGGAUUCCUAUGAAUGCAACAAGUAUGGGAAAGCCUUUACUCAAGAGUGUAGGCUUCAUGCAAAUAAGAGAAUUCACACUGGAGUUAGAUAUAUAAAUGAGAAGAAUAUGGGAAAGCUUUCAGUGCAAACACUGUACUUAUUCAUCGUAAGAGAAUCCAUAAUGGAGAGAGACCCUAUAAUAAAUGUGACAAGUGCAACAAAGCCUUUGGCCAGUGGUCAGUCCUCAACCAGCACCAGAGGCUUCACUCCAGAGAGAUAUGUUACUACCAGUGUAACAAGUGUGAUAAAGUUCACAGUCAGAAUUCAGCUUUUUCAUCAUAUCAGAAUCCAUAUUGGAGAGAAACCCUUUCAGUGUAAUCAGUAUAGUAAAAUUUCUCUUUAACGUUCAUUCCUUAUUCAACACCAGAGAAUCCACUCAAAAGAGAACUUAGGAAGUUGAUAAAUAUGACGGAACAGGCUUUGCAUAAUAGCUCCUCACCUGACAUUGAAAUUUUGUGAGUGUCCAGCAUCUGAAAUUGGCAAGGCAGAAUUUCUUCCCACCAGACCUUGAACUUGGUUUGGAUGAGAACUGGCCCUUCAAAGUGGUCCCCACCAAAAUCCUGUCAUUUAAUGGAACAAACCAUUUACUUUUCCCCUAACCGCUAAUCAAAUAAAACACUUUUGUCAUUCAAGGAGUGGCCUGUGGACCACCAGUUCAGUUUCCAGAUGUUUUACUAGUUGUUCCAAAAGACAGUUCUCACGAAAGCUUAGACUGUUGUUUAAUAAUACUUUUUAGUGAAAACUUAAGUUGUACAUAAAAUACAAAUAAGAAUAUUAGAUGAUUAAUGUAUUUUAAAUGUAGCUGCAGUGAUGAUAAUUUGUCAAGUCAAACAUGUUCAGCAUCCUUUUAGGGACAGCACAGUGAAUUCUUGGGCCUUCCAUUCCUAUCUGAGUUCUGAUGUAUAACAUGUACCUCCCAGCCAAGACUCUAAACAAGAAAGAUGCUUUUUUUUUCCCCUCUCUCUGUCUCUUAGAGACCGGAUCUUGUUAUGUUACCCAGGCUACAGUGCAGUGGUACAAUCAUAUAGCUCACUGUAACCUCGAACUCCUGAGCUCAAGCAGUUCUCCUGCCUCAGCCUCUUGAAUAGUGAAUCUAUGAGGUCAGUGCUGUCCUCAUUCCCAUUUUGUACAUAAGAAAUCUGAAGAGAGGUUUUGAACAACUGCACAGCAAGUAACAAAGUUGCUAUUCAAAACAGUGUGACUUCAAAACUGGCACUCUUGCUUCUAAUUCUGUCACCCACGUUGUGGAAGAGGUUUAGACCCUUUUUACUCAAAGUGGUCAGAAGAUCAGCAGCCCUGGCAUCACCCCAGACCAACUGAAUCAGAAUCUGCAUUUUAACAAGAUCCCCAGUUGAUUGUUAUAUACCUUAAACCUUGGAAAACACUGCUCUGCCCUAUUUUCUAGAUUUCCCCAUGAAAAACCUCACAAGUAUACUGUUUUUAAUUGCCAAAAGUAUGUGAACUAUUGAACAAAAUCUCUUAGGUUGGUUAAAGAACAAAUAAAUUGUUCUACUUCAUGAAACUUUUUUUUGGAGGCACAGGGGGAAAAAGUUUAUCAAGAUAGUUCCCAAUUACAAACGUGCCUAGCACUAAAACCUAUUGUGAACAAUUUGGAAUUUACAUCUUUAUUUUUUUUUAAAGCUUCUAAAAUAUUUUCAGAUGUUCUCCAUUAAUCAUUACAACUCUGUGAACUAGUUAUUGUCUGUUUUCUACAGAUAAAGAGGCUAAGAAAGGUAAAGGUUUAUUUAAUGUUAGAAAGUAAUAAGCCAGAGUGAGAACUGGUUUAAGUUCAGUGGAUUCCAGGUCAGUAUUCUGCAGUCCAGAUCAAACAAUUCAGCAGCGUCUAUAAAUUCCUAGAACAUAGGCUGUGAGCAACUGAAGACAUGUAAAAAAGGUUGAGUGCCUAUUGUAUGCACAAUACUAUGCAAAAUGCAAUAAUAUCUUGCUAAAUUUUGAAAGCAAUGUGAAUUGGGUAUGUCAAAGCCAUGAAGGAGGGGUACCAAAUAAUUUGGUUUCUCUUGCCAUUUAAAGUGGAUUUUUCCUCCCAGAAUCAUGAGAGUGUAUACAUUUUACCUACUGAGUGAACACUGAUAAGUAGCACAGGAAGUUGAACUUAUGUUUUAUUUAAUCAGUUACUAACUAAAGUGAUUGAUUUAUGAUUAAAUUGACUAAUUUCAUAUUUGAGUAUUUCUGUAUCUCACAAGUUGUUUUAUUAGCUGUGCAUUUCAAAGUUCUUGUUAAUUGAUGAAAACGUUUUGCCUUCUAGAAUAAUUCUCCAAACUACCACUUUUUCUGUUACUUCCACACCUAAUUAGGGACUACUCAUUUGAGUUAAAUGAAAACGAUUUGAACAACUAUGUGUAGUAUAAUGUGAGCUGCUACAGGGUUGCAAAGAUAAACAUGGUGUGAUGCCUGCCUUUCAGGAAAUCUAAGUUAUAGUAUAUGAGAGUCAAUAUUAAUAAUUACAUUUGCUUUGAAAGUCCUUUCAAUUAUAUUACUAAUCUGAUCUGUCAUUACAGUGCGUUGGUAGUUAUAUCUCCUCGCCUAGGAGUAGGUCUCAGUCUAUGCCACGUGGGAUGACUGAAAAAGGACUGGAAAAUCCAGUCUUACUGGUUUGAAGAACCAAAGGACAGAGUUUAGGGGAUCCCAGCAACUGGAAAGGGAGUGGGGUGGGAAUCCUAGGAAGGCAAAAAACAGAUAAGGGGAGCCCCAAGUUCUAUAUAUAAAAUCCACCCAGAUUUCCCCAUGGUUCCUGAACCAUGCAUCACAGAGUAGAUUUCAAGUAGCUUAGCUGUGGCUAAAAUGUCAACUUAGGUUUCAGCUGCCAUCCACUACGGGAGUGACAAUUUAAAGUUAUCUACCUACGGCCAGGCGCGGUGGCUCACACCUAUAAUCCCAGCACUUUGGGAGGCUGAGGCGGGCGGAUCAGCUGGGGCAGGAGUUCAAGACCAGCCUGGCCAACAUGGUGAAACCCCGUUUCUACUAAAACUACAAAAAUUAGCCAGGCGCCUAUAGUCCCAGCUACUCAGGAGGCUGAGGCAGGAGAACAGCUUGAACCCGGGAGGCGGAGGUUGUGGUGAGCUGAGAUUACACCACUGCACUCCAGCCUGGGAGACAAAAGCAAGACUCCAUCUCAAAAAAUAAAUAAAUAAAUAAAUAAUAAAGUUAUCUACCUGCUUAAAAAUACAAAACUCAAUACUCUUUGGAAGAAUAUAACAGAAUGCAGAGAGCCUACAACAUAUUCCCUUUUCCAGGGCUGCAUCCAAAAUUAGUGUAUUAAAAUUAGUAAAUUGUGGUUAAUUUUCAAGAGAAAAUAGAAACCACCUAUAAGAUGACCAAGUUGUAACAUGUGAAGUGUAAAAAUCCACAUGGAAACUUAUGUUUCUGAAAUCCUUAGGUGACAAAUAUAUUGAGCACAUAUUGGAUACCAUCAUCUCAUUAUUAAUCCCUUUUAGAUUAGGGAUUCCCUUUCCUCAAGGAAUACACAUUUUAGGGAGAGAGAACCGACAAACACAGAAGUAUUGAUAAUUUUAGGUACUGAUAAAUGCUAUAAAGAAAAUAGGAUGUUGUUAUGGUGACUGGAGUGUGGUUAAAGGCUACUUUAUGGUAAUCAGGAAAGGCCUCUAUUAAGAGCUUAAUAAUUGACUGUAUACUGUUUUUAAACCUCACAAAUUUAUUUUUUUAAUGUUCCCAGACAAUGAUAAGCAAGUUUAUUUUUUAAAGUACAGACACUUUAAGCAUAUUAAAGGCCUUUAAAAGGCCUUUAAAAAUCAGCACAAUCAUUGGCUUUCAAACUGUUGUCCAGAACCUCAGGUGACUCCUCAGAUGUUACCUGGCAGUCAGCCAUGGGCAGGAUCAGGUCAGUCAAGCAGGGUUCUGGCAUCCAGCCCCCUUUGCUUCACCUGAGGAAAGGCUCUGCUUUUUUUUAGGAACUUAUUCAAAUUCCUAAAAAUGGUUUUUGCCAAUUGCAGUAGCUCACACCUGUGAUCCUGGCAUUUUGGGAGGCCAAGACAGAAGGAUCACUUGAGUCUAGAAGUUCUAGACCAGUGUGUGCAACAUAGUAAGACCCCGUCUCUAAAGAAAAUUUAAAAAUUAGCUGGUCAUGGUGGCGCAUGUCUAUAGUCCAGCUACUCUGCAGGUUUAGGUGGGAUUGCUUGAGCCCAGAAGGUGAGGCUGCAGUGAGCUGUGAUCGCACCACUGCACUCCAGGCUGGGUGACAGAGCAAGUUCCUAUUUAAAAAAAAAAAAAAAAAGAUAGAAAAACAAUUAUUUUACUGGUCUAUAGAAAGGAAGGGGGAAUGGGAUUAAAAUCUAAUGGCCUAAUUUCUUGUUUCAUAGGUUACAAAAUAGACUCAGAGUUUAGGUGACUUGCUCGAGGUCAAUUUUUUAGUUGGAGACAAAAUGAGGACAAAAUAAUUGAGACCCCAGUCUGGUGCAUAUUCCAUGGCAACCUUGUCUCCAUAUUCAUCAACCAUGGCUAGUGAGUCUUCUCAUUUUUGAGCCUGAUUGGGUUUCUAUUGUCUUUUUUUUUUUUUUUUAAAGAUGGAGUCUUACUCUGUCACGCAGGCUGAAGUGCAGUCGAGCAAUCUCCACUCACUGCAACCUCCAUCUCCUGGGUUCAAGUGAUCUCCUGCCUCAGCCUCCCGAGUAGCUGGGAUUACAGGCAAGCACCACCAUGCCCAGCUAAUUUUUGUAUUUUUAGUAGAGACACAGUUUCACCUAUGUUGGCUAGGCUGGUCUCAAACUAUCAGGCCACCCAAAGUGCUGGGAUACAGGCAUGAGCCACCUCACCCAGCCAGGUUUCCAUUGCCUUUCAUACAUUAUUUCACUUCCAUUUCCUUAAAAAUUUCUUAUUUUGGUGAAAUUACUACUUUUUUAAAAAAAAUUUGCUUUAUCACAAUGUAUACUGCUUCUAUGGUCUGAAUGUUUGUAUGUCCCCAAAAUUCAUAUAUUGAAACCUAAUCAGUCAUCACUGUGAUGGUGUUAGGAAGUGGGGCCCCUUGGAGAUACCCUUUUAAAUAAGAUUAGUGCCCUUAUAAAAAAAAAACGGCCACAAAGAGUUGCCAUACCCUUCCACUGUGUGAGGACAUAGCAAGAAGGCACCAUCACUGACCGUUGCCAGACACCAAAUCUGCUGGUGCCUUCAUCUUGGACUUCUCCACUUCCAGAACUGUGAGAAAUAAAUGUUUGUUGUUUAUACAUCA